GAUGAACGCUAGCUACAGGCUUAACACAUGCAAGUCGAGGGGCAGCAUUUUAGUUUGCUUGCAAACUAAAGAUGGCGACCGGCGCACGGGUGAGUAACACGUAUCCAACCUGCCGAUAACUCGGGGAUAGCCUUUCGAAAGAAAGAUUAAUAUCCGAUAGUAUAUUAAAACCGCAUGGUUUUACUAUUAAAGAAUUUCGGUUAUCGAUGGGGAUGCGUUCCAUUAGUUUGUUGGCGGGGUAACGGCCCACCAAGACUACGAUGGAUAGGGGUUCUGAGAGGAAGGUCCCCCACAUUGGAACUGAGACACGGUCCAAACUCCUACGGGAGCAGCAGUGAGGAAUAUUGGUCAAUGGACGAGAGUCUGAACCAGCCAAGUAGCGUGAAGGACUAAGGCCCUACGGGUCGUAAACUUCUUUAGACGCAGAGCAAUAAGGUCCACGCGUGGACCGAUGAGAGUAUGCGUAGAAUAAGCAUCGGCUAAUCCGUG
rnacentral:rRNA from 1 species